GAUGAACGCUGGCGGCGUGCCUAAUACAUGCAAGUCGAGCGAACGGACGAGAAGCUUGCGUCCCUGAUGUUAGCGGCGGACGGGUGAGUAACACGUGGAUAACCUACCUAUAAGACUGGGAGAACUACGGGAAACCGGAGCUGAUACCGGAUAAUAUUUUGAACCGCAUGGUUCAAAAGUGAAAGACAGUCUUGCUGUCACUUAUAGAUGGAUCCGCGCUGCAUUAGCUAGUUGGUAAGGUAACGGCUUACCAAGGCAACGAUGCAUAGCCGACCUGAGAGGGUGAUCGGCCACACUGGAACUGAGACACGGUCCAGACUCCUACGGGAGGCAGCAGUAGGGAAUCUUCCGCAAUGGGCGAAAGCCUGACGGAGCAACGCCGCGUGAGUGAUGAAGGUCUUCGGAUCGUAAAACUCUGUUAUUAGGGAAGAACAUAUGUGUAAGUAACUGUGCACAUCUUGACGGUACCUAAUCAGAAAGCCACGGCUAACUACGUG
rnacentral:rRNA from 1 species